rnacentral:rRNA from 1 species
UACGUAGGGUGCGAGCGUUAAUCGGAAUUACUGGGCGUAAAGCGUGCGCAGGCGGUGCACCAAGCUCGAUGUGAAAGCCCCGGGCUUAACCUGGGAAUUGCAUUGAGGACUGGUGUGCUCGAGUGCGGCAGAGGGGGGUGGAAUUCCACGUGUAGCAGUGAAAUGCGUAGAGAUGUGGAGGAACACCGAUGGCGAAGGCGGGUCUCUGGGCCGAUACUGACGCUGAGGAGCGAAAGCGUGGGGAGCGAACAGG